rnacentral:misc_RNA from 1 species
AGGUAAUAAAAUUAUUAAGGUUGAGUUGUCAACUAGACAGACAAGGACCUCAAGCAGUAUGAAAUCAUCCAAACGAGAAAGAUCAACAGGAUUGAAUGAUAAGCUUGACGAGCUGCGAAAGGAACUCGCAUCCAUCCAUGGGGGAAUAUUCCCUCAUUCUGUAUUAUCUACACAACAAAUCAGUACCUUGAGUGCACAGAAACCAAAAUCAAUUGAAGAGUUGGAGAAGAUAAUUGGCAAGUUGAAGACUGAAAAAUACGGAGGCAGAAUUCUUGAAGAGAUUGCUAGUUAUGAGUCU